rnacentral:rRNA from 1 species
AUGAGCGAGGGCGCGCGGAACACGCGGCAGUUCCGCGGCGCGUGGAGCGGCGGCGGCGGGACGGGUGGCAUUGGCAGCGCGAGCUACCGGGAUGGCGACGGCGGCAUUGGGUCCCCGCGCUACAGCGGCGUCAACACGGGCAUCCUGGACGAGCAGGUGCUGUCGCUGGUGUUCCGCUCCAUCAACUGGGACCCGCAGGCGCUCUGCACGGCGGCGAGCGUCAACCGCCGGCUCCGCGCCGUCGCGGAGCGCGUGCUCUGGCGGGAGCUCUGCAUCUCGCGCGCCCCGCGGAUGGUGGCGUCGCUCACGGCAGCCGCGGCGGUCGGAGUCGGCGCGGCCCCGCCGCCACCGGGGCGCAUUGGCGGCGGCUGGCCGGCGCUGGCGAAGCUGCUCUCCUUCUGCUGCGGCGCCGCGGGGACGGCCGUGGCGGUGCCGGGGCACCUCACGCGGGUGUCGCGCUUCUCCAAGACCUCGGGGCGGAGCUUCCUGUCGCGGCGGUGCAGGAGCGACAUGCUGUACGUGUCCGACCCGUGCGAGCACGCGGUGCCCGGCGCGGACGACGACCUCGGCGCCUACCGCGGGGUGUUCCGGUGGUUCAUUCGGUCGCGGACGCGGGCCUGCCUGCUGGGCCGCCAGGCCGAGCUCGACCCGCGCGUGCGCUGCCCCUACUGCGGCGCGCGCGUCUGGAACAUGGUCGCCGCGAACCUCGUGCCGCGCGGCGCGUCGCGCCGGAUGGGCUCGGAUGAGGGCCGGCUCGAGUACUACGUCUGCGUCAGCGGCCACGUCCACGGCAACUGCUGGCUCGCGCAUCUUACCUCAAGUGAAGGCGAGCACGACGGCGACCCCGACUCCGACGACGCGUCGGGGGGUAGCAGCGGCGAGGACGGCCAUGUCGCCCAGUGA